CAAACUCAGACUCUUUGCAUUAAGAGCUUAACCAGGUAACAUCACUACCACUUCGGGGGCCCUUUGUCGACGGACAUCAGUGAAACCACUACCUCUGAUGUCUUCCUUCUACAUCAACUGAUCAACUGAUCUCCUGAAUCUCGGAGGCCUCUGCCUUUUGAAUCUGACCCAGUAAUGGAAGAAAUCAUUCAUCGUUCAACAAGAGGAGGAAAGAGGGAAGAGGAAGAAAAAACGCAACAAGACCCGGCAACACAAUGUGCUGGUCUGUCUACUGAAAUGGUGCCUGGCUGAAGACUGGGAGGGAGCAGGGCAUGUCUGUGGGGUUUGCCUUUCAUGGAGCCUUGAAUGACCCGAGAGAGACUGGAUGUGGCUCUCUCUUGGGCUCCAAGGGGAAAUUUGAGAUAUGUCCCCCUCUGCUUUCUCCUUUUACAACUCCUCACUUUUUUAAAAUAACCUUUUUUCUUUACUGCUCUAUUCACAACGCUUGUCUGUCAUCAAGCUGCUGUAGCAACAAAGACCCUGGCUACUUUCCUCUGAUGCUCCUACCUAAACCUUGUAAUUGUCGUCUUACCAGACAAGUUUAGAUCUAGCUACUCUGUCUAAUACUGUCUGGUAAUGCCGUCCAUUACAAGGUGUCUCAUCGCUCUUUCUCUGUCAGUCUCUUGGACAAUCUGUACAAAUGAACUGGUAUUGGGUCAUGUGAUGUUUUUUCACCCCUCAAUGAUUUAAUGGCUUAGAAUGUUUAAAUGCAGGUCCAUUUUUUGUUGUUGAAUUAUGUAUUUGUAUGUAAAAUGUCUUGAACAGAUAUUUGCUAACAGUAUUUUGUUGAUUAUGUUAAUAAAGGUCAUCAACGUUC